rnacentral:misc_RNA from 1 species
GGCAUCUAUCUCAAAUUCUCAAUGUGCUUGGCAACGAACGACAGUCAAUCAUCAACGACAAUUACUCCUAACUAAAACGCUGGAUUCCAUCUCACGUGUCCCUCUUAACAAAUAUGACCUUUUCUCACAUGGAAUUGGAAGCCACUGUUGCGUCUCCUCCUCUUCGCCUCUCUCUUCCUCUGCAAAGGCUGGGUAUUCAUUCCUUCCUGCACCUUCGUGCCUAGCAAGGCGGACCAAUAAUGAGACGUCGUUAAAGAGGAGAACGCCGGGAGGAGGAUUUGAAGAUCAUGAUGAUCGCCGAUUUGUUAAUCUAUGGGUCCAAAGCUGUCUUUUUUAAUAAUUAUUUUAGAGACCAUUACAUGUCCAUGUUCUUCAAGGUAAUCCCUUCUUUUCUUUUCUUUGGUUAGUGAUUUAUUAAUUGAUUAGUUAAAGAAUCUGGAAAGGAUAGGUUGGGAUACUAUAGUGUUUGUGGGUGUCCCAAUCCAGCAUUAUUAUUGGUAUGCUAGAAUGAAUCAAAUAGUAAAUUUUUUGAUAAAAGGAAUGGAAAGAAGAUCAUCUUAAAUAGGAAAAUUAUUUGCAUUAGGCGUUUGAAAUUGGCAAUUCAUUGAUGGAAGCCAAAUUAAUGCUAAAACAACAUUCUAGUUCACUGGCCAAGACAUAAACCUCUUGGUAUCAAACUAUUACAUUGAUUGGUAACUCUCUGUCUCCAACAAGCAAGUAUUGAGACCCUUCAUCCAUCACCGUCAAGCCAUCUUCAUUAGUUCUGCUAAGGUGCUCACAAGGGUUCAGCUUAAAUUCAAUUUCAGCACUCUCCCCUGCAUUAAGUUUGAUGCUUUGAAAUCCAACUAAUUUUUUCAUAGGCGACCCUUGUUCAACCUUUGCUUGCCUCCCAAAGAGCAAUACUGGAUGCUUGCCUGUCAUUACCCCCUGGUUUUUAACUCUUACAACAACGGAAAACUUGCUCUUUUCACAGAGUUCCUCUCCCAACUCUGAAACUAGCUUGUGACCGUUAGGAUUUGAUCUUUCUGUCUUAUGAUGAGUUGAUGAUCUUAAAAUGAUCUUGUUUGGUGUAACGGAGACAAGCUCAUAAGAAUAGUUUGAGUAACUUAGACCACAACCAAAUUCAAAAACCUUUCUACCUUCAUAAAAUCUAUAAGUGCGACCAGGAUAGCCAGAAGAUGAAUCAGCCCGCAUCCUCAUGUCUGUCAUUGG